CCAUCCUUGUGCCUGUAUGGAGCCUUAUCCUGUCUUCCUCUGUAGGUUUUUUGGCCUUCCACUCACAAGGCAGGCAAGAUACAAUCCCCUUUUUCAUCUGCACCCCGACUCCCUGCAGCAAUGAACAAAUACUGUUGCGCCUAAGGUCAGACCUGGCCUCUCUUUCCACUUUGGAUCUAUCUAUAGCUGCUUUUUUACAAACCUAACAAGAUUGGAGAACCAGUUGUCUUUCUAGUGAUUAGAAGUGGUGACUGUGGUGUGUUACAUUGCAUGCACUGGCUUAUCGGACUGGAUACGUGAAUCUUCACAAUUCCAAGUGGGACAGAAAAGUCUGCUUCUCCUGCUGGAGACAAUGCUAAGGCUAAUCACCUUUAUGCCUGGGAAAGCCCGCACUCAUUGAUUUAUGAAGGACAGCUUUGCUUUGCUCAGAAUGGCAUUCUUAGUUGGCUGUGUGUUUAAAAUCUGAGCUUCGAAUGCGUCAUUUCACAACAUCCUGACUCACCAGCUUUCUGCCGAGAAGUCUGCUAAGCAUCUGCCCACAUUCUCAGAGAUAUGCCAUUCACAGUAUGCUGAACCUUUCUGCUCAAUCAUUAAUCAAGAUAAUGUCCUGCAAACAUAGCCACAGGCCAAUCAGAGAUGAGGAUUCACUCAACCACUUCUCCAGUGUAAUGUGUGCUGCCAUGCUCCCCACCAUGAUGACAAUGGGCUUACUCCGAAACUCAAAAUACGAGUCCUCCCAAAGAAAGGAGUCAGAUUGUCUCCGUGACAUGAGCACAGAGGUGGAGUGUGUCCAGGGUUUGUUUAGUUUGGAAUUUUAAAGCUCCAUCAAGAAUGCAGGAGGCCUUUUUCUUCUCACUUAUGUUGACAGACUGUUGAUGGCCUUUCACACUAACUUGGUUGGAAGAAGAAGAAGAUGAAGAAAAAAGAAACUUCAGAUGAUCCUAUUUGUGUAAGAAAAAAAAAAAAAAAGUCUUCCAAACAACUCCCUUGUCGCCAGCAUCAACAGCAGCUGAACACGGGCUGAGUUGUUGCACAGUGAGAAUUAUUCCUUUCAUUUCAAAGGCAUCAGAUGUUUGGGGCAAGCAAAAGUCCUGGCUGGUUAAACACGAUCAAAAAUAAACUAGUAUCACAUUUGCUUACGGAACGCGCUGAUUAAAUCUCCCGCUGCAGUCUGAGUACACUGUUUGUUCCUCCAGAAAGGUUUUAAAAGGAGGGAGGUCAGCUCAAAAAUCUAAGCUGAUUUGGAGAGCCUAAGAAGCGUCUGAAGAUCUUCUCUUUCCAGAAUUCCUUUCUUAUGAUGAAACACUGCUGCCAGUGCGCCUGAGCUGUUGAUGACUUAUAAACAGAAGUCAAAGGGAAUUGGAGCUUCUGUCAAGACCCAUUCCAAAUAUAAUAAAAAGAGAGAUGAUUGGAUGUCUCUUCAGGGCUCUGGAUGAGCGCUUUUGUGCUUUGACUGUUCUUUGAACUGGGAUGCAAAGUGCAGUUUCAGGCUCUCAUUUGUUACCUGUCUCAACAGAAAUGUCAGCAGUUUAUGUUUCCAGUAGCUCUUGUCUCAAACCAUAGCUUCCUUCCUGCCUUUCUUUCUUCCUUCCUUCUUUCCUUUCUUUUUUCUUUCUUUCUUUCUUUCUUUCUUUGUUUCUUCCUUUCUUUCCUUCCUUCUUUCUUUCUUCUUUCAAUUCUUUUCUUUCCUUCAAUUCUUUUUCCUUCUUUCUUUCCUUCCUUCCUUCUCUUCUUUUCUUUCAUGCAUUUCUUUCUUUCACCUUUGAAAAAAAGUAGCCCAUAAGAGUACAUCAUCCAGUGUUCUGGGACACAGUAUAGGUUUUAUACUUUGCUAUAUGCAAUUAAGCAUCUUCUCCCUGACAUGUCUGUCCCUGUGCUGUGACCUGUGGGUCUUAACUUUGUCAUUUGUAGAUGGGAACUGAACAGAGUUUACAGUGCCAAAUUACUGUCCCAAGGUUCCUGUGGCACUUGGUUCUUAAGACUUAUUAGCCCUUUCUUUUCUCUUUCUUUUUUUGUUUUGUUUUGUUUUUCAAGACAGGGUUUUUUUUUUUUGUGGCUUUGGAGACUAUCCUGGAACUAGCUCUUGUAGACCAGGCUGGUCUCGAACUCAUAGAGAUGCACCUGCCUCUGCCUCCCGCGUGCUAGGAUUAAAGGUGUGCAUCACCCUCACCUGGUUAUUAGCAGGCCGUCUUAUCCUGUACCUUACAAGACAUUCAGCACCAUCCUUUGCUUCUACCCCCUAGACAGCAAUUGUAUGAUAUUCCUUCCCACACCACUCAGAUGACAAUGGAAACUGUCUCCAUUGUCA
ensembl:lncRNA